rnacentral:lncRNA from 1 species
GGUGCUGUCGGUGGCGUCGUCGUUGGUAAGUCGGAGGCCCCGGGGCUUCAGAGUCCCAGAGCCUCCAGGCGGUGAGCCACGGGUCUUCAGCAUCUUCUCCCGCCAUUAUCAAGGCGUAGCUGGAGUCUCCUGCCGCUUUGCUCUAAAUUCUCUCUUCUCGCAGGGUGAAAAAGAGACGUUACCGCUGGGACGCCCUCCCUCCCCCACCCCCAACCUCCAAGGAGAUGGGCUGGGAGCCGAGAGAAAAUGAAAAGAAAAGAAAACAAAACAAAACAACAACAACAAAAAAAAAAAAAAAAAGAGGAAUUCUGUGAUGUAGGGUGUGGGCAAGGCUUCAGGCACGGCUCUGGCGCGGCUGGGGCGGGAGGAGCUCAGGUGUGAUGGUGCUGGGCCAGGCGCGAACCACAUUCUCUCGGUGGCGGUGGCAGCGGCGGCGGCGGCGGGGUUAUAGCCUCAGGCGGGCAGUCCUGCUACGGGAGGGAGAGUGGCCGCUUUCGUAAACGUGAACGCCCAUUGGUGUGGACGCGGGUCUGCGGGCUUUCGGCCGUUGGCAGAGGCGGGCAACCCUUGGGGGACCCAGCGAGCAGAGUCUGGCGAGGGGUGCCGGGGCAUCCUCACUGAAGCAUCACAGGCAAGCAGGUGCUACUGCUCGACCUUAAACUCUGAUUCUAUCUAUCUAUCUAUCUAUCUAUCUAUCUAUCUAUCUAUCUAUCUAUCUAGGAGCCUUGUCCGAGACAGAAGUUUUGGUUAUGAAGCAGAUCUUCUCACGUCCCAGCCUGUUUUGGGGUGUCUGCGUCCCCACUGUGUCCGGCUGUGCCCGGCCUCGGCUGCUGGUGCAGCAAAGGCUUCUCAGGUUCCCAUCCCCUGGAAUCUGAAUCUUGAACUUUCCGAAGAGAGGAUCUGGGCUUCAGAGUUCUUACCAGGUAUCCCUGCAAGGAAAUAG